rnacentral:lncRNA from 1 species
ACUUCGGGUUUUCAAAUCAAUAGGUCGUUCUCUACCGCAUCAGAGUUCCUGCAAAUCGAGAUCGUCGAAACCAAGUCAGUCGAGCGAAUUUCACCGCGCCGACAUUGAUAAGUGUUAUCACGGAUACGACACUAUGGUUAAGGUUGCAGGCACAGUAGCUAAUCGAGGGAGACCGUUCUUGAGGUGUCCAGUUUGGGAAGGUUCAUCAGACCGUGGGUUCUUUCGUUGGAUCGAGCAUGGACAAGCGAGUGUUGUUGCGUGUACUAAAGCCAACGUUGAUGGAGGCAAAGCUUCAUAUUACAAAGAACUAUUUAGGGUUAGCUGCGAGCAAAUGCAAUGUCUUAAUGUGCCGUUGGAAUUCUUUAGUUACGG